UUUUUUCUUUAAAAAAAAAAAAAAUCAGUUUUGAUGAUCCUUUCUGUCUGGAAUUGAUCGAGAGAGCAAUCGAAUCAGUCGCAGGCGACAGUGUGUGGCUAUGGCAGCAGUACUGAGCUACUGCAAGCCUUCGCCAUUUCUCCGCAAAUUUCCAUCUCUCUCCGGAAAACCAUCAACCCAACAAAGAGUCGGCAGUUCAGUUCAUGUGUGCAAAAUCAGUGCACUAUUUUGGGGAUCAAAGAAGUCUGUGGAGCCAAGAUUAUCAGAUUUUUCACAACAGGAUUUCAUUUUAACAGGGUCAGGCUCAGAGGGAGGCUCAGCAAAGCAAGUGGUACCUAAAAAAAUAUCAGUUUCAGUGAUUUCUUCUAUCUCCGAGGUCUCACCAGUUGAAUGGGAUGCAUGCAAUCUGGAUUCCACUGGCCCUGAAAAACUUAAUCCAUUUCUUACCCAUGGUUUUCUUUCGAGCUUAGAAGAGUCAGGUUGUGCUGUGAAGGAAACUGGAUGGAUUCCUAGCCACAUUGUUGCCAAGGAUGAAAGUGAGAAUAUUUUAGGGGUUGUUCCACUUUAUCUUAAAAGCCACUCAUAUGGUGAAUUUGUUUUUGAUCAUUCAUGGGCUGAUGCCUACUAUGGUUUCGGGUCACGAUAUUAUCCAAAGUUCCAAUGCUGUGUGCCUUUCACUCCAGUUACUGGUCCAAGGAUAUUAGUCCGUGAUACCUCAAUCAGAGAUCAAAUUUUUGAUGUUUUAGUUUCUGCCCUAAAGGACAUGACGGUCAAGUCCAAGGUCUCGUCCCUGCACAUUACCUUCCCCUCAGAAACAGAGUGGCAGAAACUGAAGGAAAAAGGAUUUCUGCAGAGGAUUGGAAUGCAGUACCACUGGAAAAAUCGUAAUUAUAAAAGUUUUGAUGACUUCUUGAUGGAUAUGAAGCAAAGUAAAAGGAAAAAUAUUCGUCAGGAACGCAAGAAGAUUUCAGUGCAAAACUUGACUAUGAAACGGCUGCGAGGUUAUGAAAUAAAGGCUCACCAUUGGGAUUCCUUCUAUAACUUCUACAGGAACACCACUGAUAACAAGUGGGGCAGUCCUUAUCUUACAAAAGAUUUCUUUCAUAUCAUGGGAUCAAAGAUGGGAGAUCAGGUAUUACUUGUUAUAGCUGAAGAAGGGGAUGAACUUGUUGCAGGAGCUCUUAAUAUUAUUGGCGGAGAUACCCUGUUCGGGCGGCUGUGGGGAUGUCACCCAAGAGCCUAUUAUCCUAGUUUGCACUUUGAAGCAUGCUAUUACCAGGCUAUAGAAGCAGCCAUUGAACUUAAUCUGAGCACAGUUGAAGCAGGAGCUCAGGGUGAACAUAAAAUUCAGCGAGGUUAUCUUCCCGUGACAACUUACAGCUGCCAUUACCUUGUUGAUGAAGCUUUCAGACAAGCUAUAGGGGAAUUUCUAGUGCGAGAAUCAUCUCAGCCGUGGACUGGUCCGAUGAUGACUCAUUCCUGGCCAAGCUCUUGAACACCUGCCGAACUGGACCGGACCAGCCAGACCUAUAUUGGAGGAAUUACUUAGAAUUUAUGUUUAUAAAAUCUAAGGCCACCAUAUGAGGCUUUAUUUUAUCUAAAAGGUUAAUCUUGUAAUGCAACUAAUUCGUGAUUCGGGUCCCUUUAAGGAGGGUAUACAAUAGACAAGCAAGGUCUUUAUAUGCGUUCUAUAAAAUUACACUUGCAAGAAUUUGUGCAUAUGUAGAACAACAUUUUUGGAGAAAGAAAAAGAUAGAUAAAUUAUUUAAGAAAACUUUCCUCAAAACGGAUCUAUAUUCUUUAAUCUGUGGUACUGUUGGUCUAAUAGCAAGCUUUAAUAAGAUCAUUUAUAUAACUAUUUCUUUUGAA